rnacentral:sRNA from 1 species
GCUGGGUGUGGUGGCUCACGCCUGUAAUCCCAGCAACUCCAGAGGCUGAGGCAGGAGGCUCAAAAGUUCCAGGAAAGAUUAGGCACCUUCUGAGACCCUGUCUCAA